UGAAUUAUAAUGCAAAGGAAAGGAAAGGAAUGAAAUGAAGAACUUACAUACCUGGAGACGAAGCCGACUGCGCUGGUGCACUGUCUGCUCGGACGCUCUCUCCUCUGUGUCUUGCUUUCCUCUUCGUCUUCUCUUGUUCUUUGUCUCUUUGUCCUCCCUCUCUCUACUGGUUUCGGUUGGGUCUUGCUGACGUGGAGGAGGAUGCUACUUUGGACGGUGGAUGGCUGCUGAAGGCUACGACUAAGGAGAGAGUUGUUGCUCCAGCUGUGUUUGCUCAUGGUGCAGUAUAGAGAAGGUUGAUCGCUCGUUGGAGGUGCAACUUGCUGCUGUUUCCCGGCCGGUGCAGGACGAGUAGCUAGCGCAAGAGAAGAAGUCCCUGCUGUUGUCAACAUGAACUAGCUUUGCUGCAGUAUUUCUCAUAAAAGGGAGCCAGCAAUGAGGGACAGGGAUGAUGCUGUUGCUGUGGCGCAGAGAAGAAGUCCCUGCUGGUCUGGGGGGAAAGAGGAGAUGAAGGACUCUCCUGCAACACCGGACGAAAGCCUAUAUGGUGGCUUUUGAAGGUUGAAGGGGGGUGGCAGCAGAAAGCAGAAAGUGGAAUACCCCCCCUUUUUGUGUUCUUCUUCUUUUUUUCUAAGUUUUUCUUGUAAUGGCCUCCUCUGGUUUCAUCCUUUGCUUUCUGGGUUUUUCUCUGUUUUUGGGUUUUUGGUUUUUCUUCCCUGUUGUCUCCUGUUUGUUCUCCCCCUCUCUCCCCUGUGUUUUGUCCUCUGUAGUAUUUUUUUUUUUUUUCUGAAUCCCCUGGUCUGGCCUAUUGCUAUCCUUUUUAUAAGGCCAGAACAAAUGGUUGUUCCCCAUUACGUCUCUUCUUUCCUGGGAGGAGGAUAAGUCUGGGGAUGUUAGUUUUUUGCUGGGACUUGGACGCGAGUUUCGAUUCUUAUCUUCCCGGGAUUGUGUUCUUCAUGAAGAUAGGGAUUGAUCUUUGUGUUUUGGUAGAACUAGUAUGCCGGAAUUUCAAUUUCUUUCACUUCUUUGCAGGCGGAUUUGCAGCGUCAGAGGAGAGGAAGAAGAAGAAGAACAGUGCAUGUUUGAAACCGCGUCGUUUUGGUCCUUAAAUGCCCAUUUUCAAUUUGGUCCUUAAAGUUUCGAAACUUUGAGUUCAAGCUCCUGAUCUUUUAAUUUCAAGAUUUAUCCUCCUUAAAAUUAAAUUAAAAACAAGUGGGUGAAAAUUAGGUAAUAACAGUAUUGUGUCUAGCGUGUCUUUCUGUUCUUUUUGUUCCCCGUCUAAGCACCUAUUAUAAUUGAGUUUAUAUACCUUGAGUGCAUCUUUUAAAGACAUGGAACUCAUUUUCCUUAUCUGCCAGGUAUUUUUGCUUAGGUUGUGGGCUGUAUUUGAGGAAGUAAACUUGUGAAUUACAAAUUCUCUAUUUCUAGAAAGAUUGUAGCCCUUCCAAUUCAUCUUUCCAACUCAUUUUUAUGAAUUUUAGAAUUCCAUCUAUGGCCAAAGAGUGAGAUAGUGUUAGCUUCAACUUUAAUUAUGUGGUGGGUCAUAAAUUUUACCACUUGUGUCUAUCUUUUUUUAUUUUCAAAAUAAGCUUCAUUAAGGCCUGUUUGUUUGCUGGAAGUAGUUUCUUUUUAGAAAAUGAAUUUCAGAGAAAGUGAAUUCCGGGAAAGUAUUUUCCGAUGUUUGAUAGUGUAAUGGAAAAUAAGUUGGAAAACAUUUUCCAGUGUUUGGUUAUGUCAUGGAAAAUGAGCUGGAAAAUAACUUAUUAAUGUUUUAUUUUUCACAAGUUUAUUAAAAUAAUGAGGAACAAAUCUUACAAAUUAAAAAGUUGAAUGAGAAUGAAAUUGAAAAAAAAUAUAAUUUCAUAAAUUAUCUUAAAUAAAAUAAAUAAUAAUCAAAAUAAUAAAGAUCAAAUCUAAAAAAUUAAAAAAAAAUGAAAGGUGAAGAAAUUAAAAUAAUAAUAAUUAACAUUUCAUAAAUUAUUUCAAAUAAAAUAAGUAACAAUCAAAAGAAUGAGGACCAAAUUUGAUAGAUAAAAAAUUUCAAUAAAAAAAUGAUAAGAAAAAAGCAAAUAGCAAUUAUAAAAAUAAGGAUCAAAAUUAAUAUAAAAAUUAAAUUUUAAGAGAUGAAAUUGAAAAAUAAAUAUUCAAAACAAAUUAUAUAUAGCAAUCAAAAGUUUAAGGAUCAAAUUUGAUAUAAUCAGCAAAUAAUGACAUUUCUAAAUUUUUCACAACUUCCGGAAAGUGUUUUCCGCCCAAAUUUUCCAGAAAAACACUUUCCUGAAAACCAAGCCAAAUUUUCCUUUGACUGGAAAGUGUUUUCCGUUGACCAACUUUUCUAAUGGCAAACAAACACAGGAAAGUUUGGAAAGUGGUUUCCCGGAAACCACUUUCCGGAAAACAAACACAACCAAAAAGAAAAACACUUUCCUGGAAACCAAACCAAAUUUUUCUUUGACUGGAAAGUGUUUUCCGUUGACCAGAAAGUGUUUCCGUUGACUAGAAAGUGUUUUCCGUUGACCAACUUUCUUAAUGGUAAACAAACACAGGAAAGUUUAGAAAGUGGUUUUCCAGAAAAUGAAUUUCGGGAAACAAACAUGGCCUAAAUAUUUAAUAGGAUAUAUGCCACUAAUUAUAGUUUAAACACUAUAAAAUUCAAGUUUAUCAUAACAAUGGUAGCCUUUAAUUUUCUAAAGAUAAAUUACAAAAAUCUUAUUAAAAUAUUAACAAAAAUCUUAGUGAUUAUCUGAAAUUUUGCAGAUAUUACAUAACUUCUUCUUUAAAUUUAAGACAAUAUUACAAAAACCAUGUUUUGUAUAAAAAAUAUCUCUUCAAAUUUAAGUGAAUUAUUCCCUCAAUAUUAAACACAUUUUGAAUAUGAGAAGGAAUUUUUGUAAUAUUAUUAAACUUUUGAAAAAUCACUAUAAUUUUAUGAUAUUUUAAGAAAUUAUCAUGAUAUUUUACUCUAUUUUUUAAUUCUCUUGCUGGCUGAAAAAGUAGAGUCAUUAUCUCAACUACCAUUAUAAAAUGCAAAAUGUGGAGUUAGGUGGCAACACGAUGGAAUCUUCCCAUUAAUUAACAUUGCAAGCAUUUUUUAUUUGUCGGAAAGUAAAAAGGUUAAGUAAGGAGACUAGUAUUUGGUUUGAGCAGUAUGAAUUAUGAAUUUGUCCCCAUUAAGGCUGCAAAAUUUAAAUAGUUCUAUAAUAGCCCAACGUUGGUCUUAUGUAAUAGCCCUAGAUCCCUGGAUAACGUAUUGAUUCCGGUUAAAUUUUAUAUAUUUUUUUAUCAUUACUUAUUUAUUCAAUGUGAAAUAUAAUAGGAAUGAAAUCUUACAAGUAAAUGGAAAGAUUUUUUAGGAUUAUGGUAAUCGUAACGGUUUAAAGUGUUUUUUACUUAAAAAUACAUUAAAAUAAAAUAUUUUUUUAAAUUAUUUCUGAUAUCAACAUAUCAAAAUAAUUUAAAAAUAUAAAAAAAUUAAAAAAAAUUUGGAAAUACAGUUCCGAAGCACACCCGAAAUCAUGUGAGAGAAAAUUAUGCUCCCUAGCUAAACACUUCGGACACAAACUAAUGACAUUUGAAUUGAAGAUUUUCCUGUCUGAUUUCAAAUUCAAAAGUCUUGAAUGUUCAUGCAGGUCAGCAGAUGUUGUAUUCCUUGCAGAACUCUCUCCUUUGUUUCAAUAUUUCCCAGUAGUCUCUUCUUAUUUGGUCUUUGUUAACGUUAUCAUCUAUUUAAUUAAAUACAAGAAAUGAACAACACGAAACCACAUAAUACAAAACUAUUUUGCAAAAAAGAUGAGACGAUCGAUGUUGCUUAAGUAGUCCCCAUAGACGGCCAGCAGAUUUGAUUUGAGAAAUUGCCAAGGACUUGAUAUCCUUGCGUUCUUAUCUUCAAGAUCUCAAAGUCUGUCCUUCUGUAUGGCUGCUGGGAACGAUACCUUGACCUCUAAUAUUCAUAUUUUUUUAUGGUAAUCCGUAAAUAUUAUUGAUGAAAAACUAGCCAUUUAGAGAAUAGGAAAGAAAAACAAAGGGAUUUAGAGUAAAAACAAUAGCAUAGAAGAAGGAAAAGUAAAAAUUUACAUAAGUGAACAAUCUAUCUAAGAACAUCAGCAAACAUGAAUCUAAGCAGAUCAUUACCGUGUAAUAAAAAAAUCUUCAUAGCUCUUUAACCAAGUUGACAUUCAGUGAACAGUUAAAGAAAAACAUAAUUUUUUAUUAGAAAAUAAUAUAAAUUAUAUUUUAGAUUUUUAUCUAACAACUUAAAUUAUUGGGUUGGGAUAGUUCUUUGACACGGUAUCGGAACCUUUUUAAUCAAGCGGUCACGAAUUUGAAUUUCAUCAACCUCAUUCUAUAUGAUAAAAAUUAAGCACAAUGUAGUAUGAGCUCGUACAAGUUUCAAGCUGAAAGAGCUUUUACUUGAGGGGGUGUGUUAGAAAUAAUAUAAAUCAUAUAUUGGAACCUCAUCUAGUUGCUUAAACUAUUGAGUUGAGAUGAUUAUUUCGCAUGGUAUCAUAGUUUUGUUGACCAAGAGGUUACAAGUUCAAAUCUUACCAUCCUCAUUCUACUUGAUAAAAAUUAAGCAUAAAAUAAUAUUAGCAUAUGUAAGUUUUAAACUGAAAAAACUUUCAUUAAAAAAAUAUAUUAAAAAAUAAUAAAAAUUAUAUAUUAAGAACUCUUCUAAUAAUACUUCAAGCAAUGCUAUGUAAAAGAAGAUAUCAUGUUUUUAUCUUGAAUCUGGCAUUCAUCAAUGUUGGCAAUUGAAACAGUAACUGAUUUAUAGUAUCUGGAACACACCAAAGGCCCCGCCGAAGAAACUAACAAGUUAAAGGAUUUUCUACAAAGCAAACAUUAAUCUACUGCAGUCAUUAAUUAAUAUGUGGUAUUCCAGUCUACAACAUUCAUUUUCCAAGGCAUGUAUGGUCGUUGAAACAAAAAUUACGAAAACUAUAUAUGGUUUUCAUACUAUAUAUUCUUCAUAGAUUAUCAAUCUUCUUUCAAUUAAAAUGAAGAAAAGAUUUUUUUUCUGUAUUUUUAUCUUUAGCUAUAGCCUAUAAUGACGAAACUUCGGUUACAAAAUUUUCCAAACACAUGUUUCUUCAAAUUUCAUGAUUAUCACCUCGAAAAUGUUUCCUUUUGAAAAUAAUACACACUAGCAUGCAUAGAUAGAUAGAUAGAUAGAUAGAUAUCUCAAUGUUUCCUUUUUCAACCAUGAAAGCAACUAGAGUGGUUGUAAUUGACUGCUUUUUCGUUGCAUACAAGACUUGUUAACAAGGUUUUGAAUUAAUUUAUUUCGCUGUGUGGAAGAAAACCUACCAUUCCCAUUUCGUUGUCAUCUUUGUUUGGUUAAUAAAUUUGAAAUCUUCAAAUGUUCCCUCGUCCUUAACUUUAUGGUCCAACUUGAACCGCGUCAGCAUAGUAUCAGGAUUCAUUAAAAAUUGACCCCGUCCAGGAAAAUUACACAAGGUCAAAUUUGGGGGAGUAAAAUCUUUCAACUUUAUUGAAAAUUCCAUGCUUCAUGAAGCACAGAAGUCUAUAAAUACCUCCACACUCCCUUUGGGAUAUUACAAGUUUCAAAACUUAAUUAGAUUUCAGCACUGCUAUAUACAUCUCCCAAGGCUCUCAGAAAGUGUAAGCUAAACACCUCUAGCUCUUCCGCUUCUAGGCUCUCGAUCAGUACUAUUACCUAGCAAUGCCUUUGAAUUCAUCCUCAAUCUCUCAUAUCGAGACUUUAAGUUUAAGAUCACCCAUUCAACCCCCAACUUUUGGAAACCAAAUCACUGUUCUUAGCAUCGAUGGAGGUGGAAUAAGAGGAAUCAUACCAGGAACUAUCCUUGCCUUUUUAGAGUCCGAGCUUCAGGUAGUCUAGAAAUCGGUCUCUUUAAGGACGUAUUGUUGCAUGUCAAGUAGACCUGCAAGAUCAUCCAUUUUUUUAUGCGUGUGCUAGCUCAUGAUGAUAAUAUAUAAAAUAGAGUAGAAUAAGAAACUACAGGGAACGAUUCCUUGGUCCACUUGAGGUCUUGCUGGCAGCCUUUGCCCACCUUCCACCGUUCCGAGGCUGUUUGUUUUGUAGUUUUAUGCUUUUGCUUUUGCCUUUUUAUUAAUAGUUUCAUCAAAAGAAUACAUCACACUUGCAUGCAGGAUAAUAGUUUAUUUAUAUCGGUAUAUAAUUGUAAUGUCUCUUUCCAGGUAUAAAAUAAUCCGUAAUUUCAUCUCCCAUCACUGACUAGUAUGUUUUGCUAUUCAAAUUGUAGAAGCUGGAUGGUGCAGACGCAAGACUUGCAGACUACUUUGAUGUGAUUUCAGGCACCAGCACUGGUGGCCUCGUGACUGCUAUGCUAGCUGCCCCUAAUGAGCAAAACCGCCCUUUAUUUUCCGCCAAAGACAUUAUCGACUUCUACCUUGAAAACUGCCCUAAAAUCUUUCCCCAGGACGGGUAAUAAUCCCAGAUAUGAAUGCCAUAACAAAGAGUUAAAUAUAGUAUAUCAAGUACUGCUUUAAAACUAUUUUUUUUUCCUCAUUCAAAUGUCUAGAUACUAACUGUAUACUCUGGCAAUAGGUCUCCAUUCGCCUCUGCCGGAAAACUGAUCACGAGUUUGAGAGGACCAAAAUACGAUGGCAAAUUUCUGCAUAGCAUUGCCAAGGAAAAAAUGGGAGAUAAACGCCUGCACCAGACCAUGACAAACAUUGUGAUCCCAACUUUUGACAUCAAGCGCCUUCAGCCAACAAUCUUUUCAAGCUAUCAGGUUCGUUAUAUAUACAAACACAACUCUUAAAAUUCUAUGUGUUACUUGAGAAAAGAAUCGUUUCACACUGCAAAAUAUAUGUCCUUACAAGACGUACCGCUUUAUUCUUUAGGUGAAGAACGACCCAUCCAUGGAUGCCCUUUUAUCUGAUAUAUGCAUCGGGACUUCAGCUGCCCCAACUUACUUCCCUGCCCAUUAUUUUGAAACCAAGGGCCCGUCAGGCAAAGUCAGAGAGUUCAAUCUGAUUGAUGGUGGUGUGGCUGCAAAUAAUCCAGUAUGUUCAUCAUUUAUCUUCAGCUCUUGAACUUGCAUAACUCGUAACAUAUUGAUGAAUCCUAUCAUUAAUUUCCUUUUGAAUUUACAGACUUUAGUUGCCGUGAGCGAAGUUUCCAAGGAAAUCACUCGGAAGAAUCCUGACUUCUUCCCCACAGCGCCUAUGGAUUAUGGUCGAUUCCUAGUCCUGUCCUUGGGGACUGGUACAGCAAAAUCUGAAGAAAAGUAUGAUGCAGAUGAAGCGGCCAAGUGGGGUAUCUUGGGAUGGUUGACAAGUGACAAUUCUACUCCAUUAGUGGAUGUGUUUACAGAAGCUAGUGGCGACAUGGUUGAUCUUCAUGUUUCCACUGUUUUCCAAGCCCUCCACUCUGAGGAAAAUUAUCUUCGAAUUCAGGUAUAUAUCACGCUCAUGUGGUUAUUCAAGAUAUCAAAUUAUAUUCUCCCACGAAGUAAUUAAAACUAAAAACUAGAAAACGAAGAACCCUGACUAUAAGAUGUGUGUGAAAUGCAGGAUGACACGCUGACCGGAACACUUUCGUCCAUGGAUGUUGCCACGAAAGAGAAUUUGGAGAAUCUUGUGAAAGUGGGUGAGAAAUUGUUGAAAAAACCAGUAUCAAGGGUGGAUUUAGGCACUGGAAUCUUUACACCAACUGAUAAGAUGACAAAUGAAGAGGCUCUCAUAAAGUAUAUAUCUGCUCAAGUCUAUAUAUAUUAUAGUGAUUUCUAUGGCAUCUUAUUUCAUCUUGCUGAUUUUUUUUUUUUGUUUGACUGUGUAGGAUGGCUAAAUUACUGUCAAGGGAGAAGCAUCUUCGUGAUUCUAGGUCACCAGUUGGAAAAGUUGCUACUUCCAAGUGAAUAUGAUUCGUACACUAGAUUAUCCAGAAAAUCAAUUAGACGCAAAUUAAUAGAUUUGAAUAAAGAUGCCAUGCACACACAUGGUAUCCUUUGUUUUUUACAGUUACAACACAUGUAUAAAAUGUAAUAAAGAUGUCAUGAAUGCUGUUAGCUAGCCUGUUACACUUUCAAAAAUAUAUUUGUUAAUUUGCUCAUCUUUUUUAUAAUUUGUUAAGCUUUUGAUCGUCUUGCCUUAUAUUCUUACUUACAGCCCUUUAAAUUUUGUAAAUAGAUAUGAAUAAUAAUAAGUUGAUGGCUGGAUCUGGAGAACCAAUGAUGACUUUCUCUUCAUUAUAAAUAUACAAAGAUUAAAAUAAUAUUCUCGCUAAUAUAUGUAUAAUAUUAUAUCUGCUAACAAGGAACUUCCUCGGUAUGGCAUGAAGAAAAUGAAAGAAAAGGUAGAAGGCCUAACUCCAUUGUCACAGGCUUUUGACAAGCUAUCCAUGAAUACUCUUUGUAUCAAGUGUUGAGAGGGGCUCCAUCCCGGAUUUAAAAAAAAAAUCCAAAAAAAUAUUGGAUAUGCUGGCUAUCUUGAUGUUAUUUUUUCGUGUGACUUGCUCCAUCCCAGAUUUUAAAAAAAAUUCAAAAAAAUAUUGGGUAAUGCAGGCUAUCUUGAUGUUAUUUUUUCAUAGAAAAAUUCAAAGUUCAAAUAAAAAAUCAUAUGCAAGCAUCUAUGUAAAUAAAUGAAAAAAAAAAUUGUUAACAAUAACAAAAAAAAAAAUUAAGAGAUGAUAAUAGAUCAAGAUAUUCAAUCACAUAAAAUGAGAUAUUUACCGAAUUGUGUUUACUGAAUUUAUUUAUCUAAAUCAAUAAAAAAAAUAAUAUAAAUAAAAAUAUGAAUGAAAUUGAUUGAAUAAACUUACACCCUAUAAAAAUAUUACACAGGUCAAACAUAUAAGAAAUAAUAUUUUAAAAUAAAUAUUUUUAUUUUAAAAAAUAAAGUUCAUUUGUAUAUAAAAAAAUAUAGAUAAAUGAGAAUAACAUCUUCAAAAAUAAAACAUAAACAAAACAAUUUUUAAAAAAAAACUUUUAUCCAAAAAGACAUGCAAAACAUGUAAUUUAAGUCAUGAGACUAAGAUAAACUCAUAAACAAAAUCAAAGAUAAUUACAAAACCAAUAUUUUUAAAAAAAACUAAUGAAAAACAAUAAGAUCGUUAAAGAAAAUGAGCAAAAAAAAAAUAUCAAACGACAUUGACUUUUCAAACUCAUGACCUGGGUCAUUAAAUUAAAAGUGCUCCAAAUGAAAAAACAAUAUAUGAAAUUGAAUCCCUAAUAAAUUAAAUGUUAAAAGAUGAAACUAGAAAAAAAAAUCAAUUAUGCAAAAAGAUCUAAGAAAAAUUUUUAAUUAAAAAAAUGAGGGGGAAAAUUAAAAAAGAAAUUAAAAGAUAAACAAAAAUUUUCAAUUAAAAAGUUAAAUUAAAUUAAAAAAUAUCUUAAUAAAAAAUACAAAUAAAAAAAUAUCAAGUAGAUCAGAUGUGGGUUGUUAACUACCGAGUUGUUGUUCUUUAUUAGCUCUCUCUCUUGAAAUACAGAAUUUUGUCGAGCUUAAUAUAAAUAACCCACUUGUUUUCAGAUGUGGGUUGUUAGCUAACGUGUUGUUGGAAAAAUAUCUUACAUUGACCUUCGUUGUUGUUGUUUAUUUAUUAAGCUCUUUCUCUUUUCAUUAGUGACGGUUGGAAAUAACAAAAGAAAAAUAUUAAAAAUAAUUAAAACAUAAUAUCAAAAAACAUCUCCAUCUAAAUCUCCAACACACCGUGAAAGUUCUUUGAACUUGAAACUUACACAGACUUAUGUUACUUGUGAGAUUCGAACUCGUGACCGCUUGGACUCACAUUACUUUAUGUUUAAUUUUUAUCAAAUAAAUAGGGGAUUGUGAAAUUCAAACUCGUGACCGUUUGAUCAUCAAGGCUCUGAUAUCAUAUCAAAGAACCAAUUAAACCCAAAAACUUAAGCUGUUAGAUGAGAUCUCAUGAUAUGAUUUAUAUUAUUCUCCAGCACAGAAUUUUAUCUAGCAUAAAAAAUUUAAUUUAAAAUAUAAUUACUGGAUGUUUUUUCUUUAAAUAAUUUAUCUAAAUACAAGCUAAAUAUUUUUAUUUAUAUUAGUUUUGGAUUUAAAAUAAAAUAAAAAUUCUAAACUAAAUAAAAAAAUAGCUAAGAAAAAUAAAUCUUUUAAUUGAAUAAAAAAUAAAAUUCUUAAACUAAAUAAAAAAAAAAUGAAAAAAAAUCUCCACCAUCUGUCAGCAAACAGGAUAAGAAUUAAAAUUUUUAUAGAAAAAUAAUCAUUGCCCGUCAUCUAUUAACUUAUCCUCCUUUUCUUUCUAUCCGAACACGUGUAUUAAUUUUAGUACUUGCCAGUUUCGUGUGAUCUUUCCAUCCAAACACAUGUUUUAAUUAACAUACGAUUCACAUGUUAUCCGUUGCUUUAUCCAACGUAACUCGCCAAUUUCAAAUUGUUUUAGGUUCUAGUCAUUUCAAAUCUUUAAUUUAAGAUUAUUUAUUUAAGUUAUAAGUAAAAUAUCGUGAGGUUGUGGCUACCGACGAUCAGCCAUGUAAUUUUCAAAGAAAGAUUGAUCAAAUCAAAGUUACCACCCAAGUCCAAGUUUUUACGUAGAUCUGGUGUAUAUUUCUAACGACUCCAAUUACUGCAUUCUAUAUUAUUUUUAUUAGAAAAUAAUAUAAAUUAUAUAUUGAAUCUUUAAUAAUUAAUAAUUUAAAUUUUUAAUGCAUUUUUAAAUUAAAAAAAACAUUUUAAAUUGCUAUUAUCAUAAUCUCAAAAAAGCCAUUAACCGGUUAACUUUCAAUCUAAUUCAUAAACAAACCUAAUUUGGAUCACAAUUAAUUAAUUUUUAAAAACAAAUUCACAUCUGUUACUUUAAAAAUUACUUACAGUCUCAUAAAAUCGGUGAUAAAUUGCAAAUUUCUCCUUCCAUCCUCCCGAAAUAAAAAAUAUAUGUCUUACGCUAGAUCUCUUUAUCAUUCCUUACACAAUGGAGAUCGGCCUUCUGCAAGAAAAUCAUUGCCAUGGCAUGAAAACCAACAAACAAAAAUCUGUUAAAAUCAUAAAUAUUAAAUUUGUUGAAGAUUAUGAGGACGAGAAUAGUGAUUAUUAACAUUUUCUUUUGCCCUUUUUCUGUUAGAAUUUUUGAAGAUUGCACGAACAGAAUUGUCAAAGAAUCAUCUUAAUUUAAUAAUUUAAAUUAUUAGAUGAGGUUAUAAAAUAUAAUUCAAGUUAUUAACUUGAAUCUAACACCUAUAUUUUUAUUUAUAAAUAAUAUAUAUCCGGACUAGAAUGAAAAGUUAAAAUCAUAAAUAUUAAAUUUGAUUUAAAAUAAAUAUCAUUGUAGAAUAGAUCUUUUUGACUCGAUUAAAUAAAAAAAAAUUACAAAAUCAUAUCGUUGUGGAUUUUAAAGAAAUAAAACAAUAUUAACCCCGUAUAAUAUUAGUUAAAGCCGGUUUAAUUAAUAUGAAUAAAAUAUAAAGCAACACAUCAACUACUCUCCCAGGAAAAACAAAAUCUACUUUGUUUACUUUCUUGGUGUUUUCUUUCUUUUGGUGGAUGUGAAACUAAAUGGGCCAAAGCAAAGAAAGGGCGCGAGAGCAUGACCUUGCUGGCGAGGGAGCCACUGGACAUUAAAACAGGGAGGAAGAUGUGGAAAACCUUCAUGAGCCAGGAGACCAUGACCGAUGCUGACUCUCAAGCCUCUUCUAUGAUUUUAUUUCCAUUUUUUACAGUGUUAAUAAUUUAUUUCCUCAUUGCCAAUUACUUUUAAGCUUUAAUUAAGUUAUAAUCACAAUUUCCAAUCACAUAAGGUCCAUAUAAUAUCCACAUCUGAUCUACUUGUUAAAACAAUACAAACAUUUAAAAAAUUAAUUUAAAACAAAAAAAAUCAAGUUUUUUUAUGUUGCACAAUACCUUACUCCUUGAAUACACGCACGUGGAUUUUCUUAAUGAAAGAUGUUAAUUAUCUAUAGAUUUAUUAUCCCGAGUCUAAAAUUCUGUGUGUCCCUUCGGUGAGUUCUUGCACAAUAGCCGAGUGAACUACAUAGCCCAGCCCAGUAUAAAGAUGGACUCUAAAAUUAAGGGAAAAAACAGUCAGAAGUCCAAAAAUAUUUGGACCGAAACCUACGUGACUUCGGUUCGGAAAAGAAUCUGAACUAUACAAUGAUCAAAGGCAACCACUCUUUAUUAAAAAAGAGCUUUGUUUUUUUUUUUUUUCUAUCAUAUUCAGUUCAACUAAAUAAUUAAUACAGAUGAGAUUUUAUAUCUUAAAUUUCUAGGAGUAGUCUACAACUAAAUUAUUGAGUUAAUAUUAUUUUAUUAAAAUAAUAAUGUUUUUUUAGUGUUGGUUUGAAUGGAGUUUAGUCAUGUUAAUCAAAUUAUUAAUAAUUUAAUCAGAUUAAUCUAAUUUUAUUAUGUGAAUAUUUAUUAUAAUUUAACUAAAAAAUUAGCUCGAGUAAUGAAUUUCUUAUAUUAACCUAUCGGGCUGGCCGGGUUUAACGUUCCUUGUUAUUUUUUAUUAUUUAUUUAUUUUGGUAUUGAGUUGAAGAAGGUGCGCAUCUCCUCUGAAAAAUUCCCAUAUUCACAGAAAGACUUCUGAAUUCUCAUUACCGCCUCCCGCCUUCCUCUCCUCCUCCGAGAAAAAAGCUCAUACUCUGCUCUCAACAUUUCACCGAAAAAUAGACCAACAAAAGACUCGGUGUCAAAAAAAAAAAAUUCAAAUUUUGUUUCGGAAUAAAUUAUGCUCCGUCACUGUUGCAGAAAUCGAAGCUACCUCCGUCUUCCUCUCCCUCGCUCUUUCUCCUCUUGUAAAAACCCUAUCGAGCCGCCAAACAAUCUCAAGAGUUCCCAUUAUAUCCUUCAUAAACCACCAAUACUCCACCAGAAUCACCUUAUUAAUUCCACCGCAACCAGCACCGCCUCCUCUCUUUCUCGUAACUCCGUACUCGCUCUCUCCGCCACUCUCGUCUCCGCCGUACUCGCAUCCCUCGCUUAUAAUAAUCUCAAGUCCACAAACCCUGAUCCUAACGGUAGUAGAGAUUACAAUCCUCUGUACGCUGCAAUUGAGCAGAAGAUUUCGAAGUCAAAUGAAUCUCUUAGAAGAAUCUUUUAUCACGCGAGGAAAACAGGCGUUGCCGCGUCUGUUUUAUGGCAAUCGCUAAGCUCUGUGCUCUCUUCUGCGAAUCAUGAGGUGAGGGUUGGAUUUGAGCUUCGUGUGGCGGCUUUGUUGGCUGAUAUUGCGGCGGCAAAUGCGGCACGCAGGGCGGCUUUGGUUGAGGCUGGUGGUGGUGCGGUGGUGGAUUGGUUGUUGGAGACGGUUGCGGUAGGUGGAGACGGGUCUGGUUCCCAGGCUGAGGCGGCUAGGGCCUUAGCGUAUUUGAUUGCGGAUCCUAAUGUGUCCGCUGAUGUUCUAGGGAGGCCUCAUGCUGUGCCUUAUUUGUUGCGGUUUAUAUUUUCGUGCCAGCCGAAGAAGAGCGUGAGUGUUUUUCUUUGAAUUGUGGUAUCGGUAACUGAUUAAAGAGUGAUUAGUGUUCAAAUAUGUUACUUGUUGAAUAAGUUUGUAAUUUAUUGUCAUCUGUGAUUGAUUAGUUGUGCUUUCGAAUUUGAAGUCUAUGAAUGAUAUCUAAAGAAUAGUAAAUAAGGCUUUAAAGAUUGAUUUUUGUGUCAAUCUUACCUCAUUGUUUCAUCUGGUUGUGUUUGUGUGCAAGUUUAUUUGUGUUUUUGUUAUUGGGAUGUGUACUCAUUCUAAGUGUUGUUUUUUUUACCAACUGAUAUAUUCCUUUUUUGUGGGAGCAGCAAUCGAGACGUAGUUCAUUCGAUAUCUCUGAUUCCUUGAAAGGUAGGAGCAUGCUUGUGGCUGCAAUCAUGGAUAUUGUCACAUCCAACUGUGAGAGUUUAGAAAAGGUUUCUUUUAAGCCAUCCUUGCCAGGAAAUGCAGAAAUGAGGGACAUUGCUGCAGCCAUUGAAGUUGUUGAGGAAGGUGGUUUACAGAUGGACAAUGGGGGUGAAAAUGAAGAUGAUGACGAUGGUGGGAGAGGAAUGAAAGGUAUUGGAAUUAAAAUACUUGAAGGUACAACGGUUUUAGGUCUUUCAAGGACUAGUGGGCUUGUGGAUUUGGAGAAUUCUGAUGCUGGUCAUGUUGAAUCAUUUAGCCAUACUCCUAAAACGGUUGCCUUGUUGCAUAAGCAUGACCGUUUACUAGCAAAAGAAAAUCUGUCUUCUGCUGUUGUUCCUGGACUCUGGGAUGAUCUGCAGUGUCAGCAUGUUGCUGUGCCCUUUGCAGCAUGGGCAUUGGCCAAUUGGGCAAUGGCAUCUGAGAUAAAUAGAUAUCAUAUUCAAGAACUGGAUCGAGAUGGACAAGCUGUUAUGACUGCUUUAAUGGCACCUGAGAGAUCUGUUAAAUGGCAUGGGAGCUUGGUGGCCCAGUUGCUGUUGAAGGAUCGUAAUCUUCCCUUGAAUGAUUCUGUUUCUGAUUGGAGUUCCAGUCUUCUGGCUACUAUUUCACAGGCAAGCAAAAAUGAUGACAUCCCUUUGGUUCAGAUGGCUUUGUCUGCUUUUUUGCUUUCUGUUGAGAGAAGUCCAGAUGCAAGGAAGAUAGUGAUGGAGAAAGGUCUUCAGCUUAUGAGAGACACAGCUAAGAAGACAACAAAACACAAGCAGGUACAAGAAGCAUUAGCAAAGGCAUUGGAGUUACUUUCAACCGGUGAUGUUCACUUAUCUCUUGAAGAUAGUCAGAAGUGGUCUGGCAUUCUGCUACUUUGGGUUUUUGCAAAAGUUUCCUCCAGUGCUACCCGAUCUUCUGCUAUAAAAAUUCUCUCUUGCAUUUUUGAAGAACAUGGACCAUCUACCCUUCCAAUUUCUCAAGGCUGGUUAGCUAUUUUGCUAAAUGAAGUUUUAGUUUCAAGCAAGGCGUCAUUUGAAGGAGGAACUCAACCUAAAGGGGACAAAGUGAAGGUAAGGAGAUGCUCUUUUCCCCCUACUUUCAUCGAAUCUAAUAGAAGUUGAAUUUCUCUGUUUGAAUUGAACCUUUUUUCUCGUGUCUUGUAGAAUGUUUUUAUUUUUAUUUUACCAUGUUUGUGCAUUGGUAUUUAUAAAGCUAAUGAACUUUUGCAGACUCAAAUUGAUCAGUCCAACAUUCUUUUUGCUACACAGACUGCUAACCAGUUGGCAGGUGCAGUUGUGAAUCUAGCUAGGAAUCAGCUAGGAACAGACAUUGAUUCCUUUGAUACUUUACCUCUGGCAGAUCUUCUUUCCAUGGAACCUUUUAUAGGACCACUUAAGAACAUAAAGAAAGACGCACCUAAAUCUAAGGCAGCAGAUUCUGCUUUGGCAACUCUUAAGGGGAUCAAAGCACUGACUGAACUUUGUGCCAAGGAUUCUUUAUGUCAAGAAAAAAUAUCUGAAUUCGGUGUUUUGUGUUUGGUUAGGCGCUUUCUGUUGAGUGAUGAUUAUGAGAAGCUUGCUGCAAUGGAAGCUUAUGAUGCUUCUAGGGCCCCUGAGUCACAAGAACGGGGUGCGAAUACUGCUGGCGAGUCAUCUAAUGCAAAUGGUAAUGAUCCUUCUAGUGUUCGAGUUCCACCUACAGCUCACAUUCGAAAGCAUGCAGCUAGACUCUUGAAUAUUAUUUCACUACUUCCAAAAGUCCAAAAGGUUAUCCUAGCAGACAAGGCUUGGUAUGAAUGGCUUGAAGAUUGUGCUAAUGGGAGGAUUGCAGGUUGUAGUAACCUUAAGAUACGAAGUUAUGCUAGGGCAACACUCUUAAAUGUGUUGUGCAACCAGUAUACUGGUAGCGAAUCAACUAAUAGCAAUGCUAGUGAGACUGAAGCUGGAAAUGGAAGAGGUGAUUGUGCUCGUUAUGGCGAUAUGAUAUUUUUGAUUAAUCCAGAUUUGCCACACUGGAAGUAUUGUGAAAAAAUAGAUAGCAUGACGAUUCAAAAAAAUAAGUCGUCUUCAAUUGAGGAUUCUAUCGCCAGCGAUGGUUCAACUGGAACCAGUGCUUCAGAUGCUCAUAAUAGGUCAUAUGAUUGCAAUGAUUCGCCGAAGGACUCUGAUUCAAAUGUUCCAGAGAUAGAUGUUGUCUUUGUCCAUGGUUUGCGUGGUGGGCCUUAUAAAACUUGGCGAAUAUCUGAGGACAAACUUUCAUCGAAGUCUGGCUUGGUUGAGAAGAUUGAUGAGGAAGCGGGGAAGUUAGGGACAUUUUGGCCUGGUGAAUGGCUUUCAGCGGACUUUCCUCAAGCUCGUCUUUUUACCCUCAAAUACAAGGUUUGUUUUAACUUCAAUACUUGCGUGAGAAGUGCUUGAUUUACAAAGAAUGAUAUUCAUUCUUUUAAGCCUCUAUACUGGUUUUGUCUCUAUCACAAGCCUCAUCAAUGUCUGUCUACUGUUUGAAUGACAAUGCAGACAAAUCUCACUCAAUGGUCCGGAGCUAGCCUGCCUCUUCAGGUUUGUAAUUUUUUGGUUGAUAUUGUGGUAGGAUUGGUGCUUGACUUCAUGUUGGGGCUUGCUGUUUUUUCAUUUUGGGGAGUUUAAUUAUCAACAAUUAAAAAAUAUGAAUUAAACUACCCUGGCAAAUGAUUGUGACUAGUCUAUUGAUGGUUUUAAAAUGAUGCAGGUCAAACUUUUAAUUUUGGGAACUUUUUAAUUUUUUGCAAUUCAAUCAUCUUGUUUACUUAAAGUAGUAGAUUUGACAAGUUUAGUGGGCGAUACAUAAGACUGAGGGUUUACAUGCAUAUCAAGGUUAAUGCUUGCAUUGCUCAUAGACAUUUGAAUUUCCCAAAUGAGAUAGAUUUUUUUUUUCUAAAAGUUGGUCUGAUUUUUUUAUUCAUUACUUGAGUGAUCAUAUGGUAUCAUUAUUCUCUUCUAUGUUAGUGACAAAUUGUUUGCUGUAAACACCAUUUCCUUUCUGCUUUAGCAUGCUACAUCGGUAUUCAUGUUCUGAUUAUAACUUGCAGGAAGUCAGCUCCAAGCUGUUAGAGCAGCUUUUGGAUGCUGGCAUUGGAAAUCGUCCUGUUGUAUUUGUGACUCACAGGUAAGCUUUAUCAUUCAUGUAAUGUAUUACUUGUAUUCUCUGUUAUUGGAACCAGUGAUGCCGAUCUUGCUAUUGUUAUAAUUUGCAGCUGUUAUGAUAUGACUUUAUUUUGUUGAUUGUGGGUAUUUGCCCGCAGGCUUUUUGAGUGCACACGUAAAAGUAUAUUUUGCAGCAAUAAAUGGCAUGCUGGAACUGCUAUGAAUAUCGUUGAGAGGACUAGUGUUAUUUGAAAUAGAUAUUUUCUUGAAAACCAUUGAUAUAAUGCGAUGUGUCAGUAUAAACUUGGGUCUUCAACCAUUGUAUUCUUCUGACACGUAAUAAACAUCAAGGACGUGGAAUUUGGACCCAUUGUGGUUUCAUGUCUUACUGUAAUCCUUAUUCUAUGUCUGCAUGCACAGCAUGCUGUGAUGCAUUGAUACAGGUUGUAAUAAAUGAACUCAGAUAGCUCACUUUUGCAAUUGAAAAUGACACGGGACUUUCAAAGAAACAUGGUUUCCAAGUUUGUUAGUUCACUUCAGAAUUCCACAUCCAUGUGGCUGGGCUGGUCUUUCAGAUUUAUACUGCUUACUCAGAGCAUCCUCUUGUUAAGUAAUUGUUCACUGCUUGCAGCAUGGGAGGCCUGCUCGUCAAACAGAUGCUGCAUAGAGCCAAGUCAGAAAAUAUUCAUAAUCUUGUGAACAACACUGCUGGACUUGUAAGUUUUUGAUAGAUGUUACUUUAAGUUGUAAUUAUCAAAAUUACUAGCAAUUUGUUUUCUUUCAUUAACUUGAUCAGGUCGGGCCCUCAAGGAGUUUAAUGUGGUGUUUUUUUUUCCUGAUUUCAGGUGUUUUACAGCUGUCCCCAUUUUGGCAGCAAACUGGCAGACAUGCCUUGGAGAAUGGGGCUUGUGCUUCGUCCUGCUCCAACUGUCUGUACACAACUCAGCACAUAUUGUUGGUUCACAUACUAAAUUUGUUAUUGUUCAUCAAUUGACUGAUAAAUUUUGAUUUGCUUGUUCAUAGAUAGGGGAGCUAAGAAGUGGUUCUCCAAGACUUGUAGAACUUAAUGAUUUUAUCCGCCAGCUUCAUAAGAAAGGACUGGUUGAAGUCGUCAGUUUCUGUGAGGUAAUAAAUCUGUACUUCUCUUUCUUGUUUGAUACUUGUGCUCUCCUUGUGUAGAGCGUGAUGGAUUGCUGGCACUGAUUUGCAGACCAAGGUAACUCCCAUUGUUGAAGGAUAUGGGGGAUGGGCCUGGAGGAUGGAAAUUGUGCCUAUCGAAUCAGCUUACCCUGGAUUUGGUGAACUUGUUGUAAGUGCUACUGUUUAAACUUUUCUUUUUUGCUGUUUCAUCUUUAUACCUUUUAAGAUGGUGGAUGAAUUUAUUGGAUUUUAUGACUUCUGGAAGGGUAGGGGUUGGGUUCACCAAAUCAUUGCAUAAUUUUUAUUUUUUUUUCUGACUGCAUGCUUGGAGGCUUGAAUGCUUCCAUACUCCUCAGAGUCUUACUAUUUUUUGUUUCUCAAAGUUUUUGACACCGGCUUUUUCAGAGACCAAAGCAUGAUGUGAACAUGUUAUACGUAUUGGAUUUCUGUAGAAUUUUGCAUUUGACUCUUUUUCCAAUAUACCGAAACAGGUUCUAGACUCGACCGAUCAUAUAAAUUCAUGCAAGCCAGUGUGCCGCACUGAUCCUUCGUAUAUCGAGACAUUAAAUUUUUUACAGAAGAUGAAAGCCCAUUAUUCAGGAAGAGAUGUUUCACCGUGAAAUUGUUGUCAAUAGCUACACUAAAUCUCGAACUGUUAAGCUGUGGGAAACAAAUUUUGAGCUUGAACAGAGACCAUUUCCAACCUCGUUGGGCUGGGAUUCGAAUUCUAACUUUAAUAGCCUUGUAGACUGGAUAAGAUGAAGCUUGCGGGCCUCACAGGAUGAAGCUUCCAGAUGUUAAAUUUGCCCUCAAACCAUCAUCACAAGGAAGUUAUUUUUACUUGUAAUUUUUAACUCCCUAUUUUUUAACGAAUUGUACAUCAAUUUUGUACAUCAUACAUGUCUUCCCCAUUCAUCUGUAAAUACACUAUUCAUGCAUCUGUAAAUAAACCAUACAUUGAAUCAUGGUGUAUGUAAAUACUUUUGAGAGGAAGAAAAGAAACAUACUGAGAAAUUGAGAACAGCUUUUAUUCCCCUUCCUGUGUCUGACUUCUUGCAUAUUUUGAUCUUCCAUGGGAUGUAUUAAUGGAAAAAUUAUUACAUGUGUAUUCUCUUUUUAUGUAAACAUGAUUCCUGUUUUUACGAGAGUGUAGCACCGACUGUUUUUACGAGAGUGUAAUGAAUAAUAUCCAUCUGAAAUAUGAGUAUACAAGCAAAGUGAGAAGAAGCAUGGUUAUGAAACCUAUAUGGGUUUCAUGGGUUAAUUCAGUCCUUGAUUUAAGUUAGGUUUCACAAUUAAUAAAAAGGAGAGUAUAUCUUCAUAAAUAAAAUGAUGUUGUUUUAAUAUUUUUUAAAUAUUAAUUUAGGGUUAAUUAUAGGUUUAUUUUUUUGUUUGAUGUUGUUUUUUAAAACGUGUUUUUUAAAAUUUUAAAUUUUUUUAUUUAAAAUUAUAUUUUUAAUACUUUAGAUCGUUUUUAUGCUAAUGUUAAUAAUUAUUUUUAAAAAUAAAAAAUAUAUAUUAUUUUAAUAUAUUUAUAAAUAAAAAAACAUUUUAAAUUCUCAAAAAGGUUACCGUGGCAGGAAGUGAAAUUGAAAUAUACCAGCUGUAAGGUUUUUAUUGGAGAUGAUUACAAGGCUGUAUCAGGUAAAAGAAAAAAGUCGAAGCCCAUUAGAUAAUAUGGUCUGAAUAUAUUUAUUUACGGGCUUUUAGCCCACUAAGCAAACGAUAAACCUCAUCAUCGUUUUAGCACUAGCACAGAGGGGAGGGGAGGGGAGGCGAGGUUUAAGGUUUAACCAUGGCCUUGUUAUCCUUGACAGCGUCGUGUAAACCACCAUCAAUGGAGCCUCUUGUCCAUUCUUCUUCUUUUAUUUCAUUACUAUUUCCAUCUCAGUUAAAGUUCCCAAACCCAAUAAAAAACAAGAACCACAAGAUAAUAACGUGUUGCUCCAAUUCAAAUUCUUCUUUACCAACAACAGCAACACCAAGUGUGGGCCCGCCCGUGAUGAAGAAGAGAAAAAGGUAUAGGAAGCCAUAUCCAGGAGAGAACAAAGGGAUUACUGAAGAGAUGAGAUUUGUUGCCAUGAAGCUCCGUAAUAUCAAAGGCAAACACACCCACAAGACUGUUAAGAGUGAUGAUGAUGAUGAUGACAGCUGCCAAGAUUCAGAAAACGAUAGCGUCUCUGAGAAAGAAGAAGAGGGAAAUGGUGAUGGUGAUGGUGAUGGUGAUGGUGAUGGUGAUAUUUGGAUUCCCGGUAUGGAAGGGUUUGUUAAGUAUCUAGUUGACAGCAAGCUUGUUUUCGACACUCUUGAGCGGAUUGUUGAUAAAUCUGAAGAUGUUUCUUGUGAGUUCUUCUUCUUGUGGCUGAAUUUCUUAGAGAAUCUAACAAAAAUCUUGUGGGAAAUUUUGAAAGAAUCUUUACUAAGAUUUGUUUUUCCGAUUGCAGAUACCUAUUUUAGAAAAACUGGGUUGGAAAGAUCGGAGGGUCUUGCAAAGGACCUCGAGUGGUUUAGUCAACGGAAUAUAGAGAUUCCUGAGCCUAGUACUCCAGGAACUUCUUAUGUCAAGUAUUUGGAGGAGCUUGCAGAGGAUAAUGCCCCACUGUUCCUUUCCCAUUUCUACAACAUAUAUUUCUCACAUAUUGCAGGCGGUCAGGUGAUAUCUAGAAAGGUCUGUGUAUUUGUGUGUUUGUUUAUACAACAAUUCCUGCUCAGGAUGUAGAAACAAUUUCUACAUUCCGGCCUUUUAACCUUUGAAAUACCAUAUUGAAUUGCUUUGAGGUAUGGUUAAUCUGUGCCAUCGUAACAAGGUCAUCUUAUGUGCAAAUUUUAAAAAUCUUGAACCAAGUAGGAUAUGAUGGCUGCCAAUUAUGAUUGUAUCAUGGACUUUCUUUCUAAGUCAAGCUAGCUCUUUCUUUCGUGUGAUGAAGUGAAAAAAGUUCCACUUAAACCUUGUGCCAUCUUCUAGCUGGUGUUGUCGAAACAGAAUCAGUUCUAUGGAUGAGCUAAAGAAAAAGGGUCCGAUUAAAACCUGGGCCCAUCUUUAGUGGUUUUCCAAAAUCAAAUCAAUCAUUAAUCAUGUUGUUUUGAUUUAUAAUUUCAGGUUUCUGACAAGAUACUGCAAGGAAGAGAGCUGGAGUUCUACAGAUGGGAUGGAGAUGCCCAGGAAUUGUUGAAGGGUGUGCGUGAGAAGCUCAACAUGCUUGGAGAGGUUAAUAACUUGAGAUCAUCACCAAGCAUCCAUUGAAUUACAUUUUCUUUUCUUUGACAUUUCUUGAUACCUAUCCACUGUAUGUUUGUAAUGCUAUGAAAACAGCACUGGACACGAGACGAGAAAAAUAAAUGCUUAAAGGAAGCGGCAAAGUCAUUCAGAUAUUUGGGGCAGAUAGUCCGGCUGAUCAUCUUGUAAUGCAGCUUUGAAAGCAUGUUUGUGGUAAGGUGGUACCUUUUUUUUCAUUUUUCUUCUUGAUUAAUCCGAUGCUUCCCUUUUCCUCAUAGUUGCUUGUGUACUUGUGGUAUAACUGCCUUUGAAUCAGUUCAUUCCACCUAUUCAUUUAAUUUUGAAAUGUGAAAACUUAUUCCAUAAUCUAAAAACAUGUUUUAAUAUUAAAUGAUCAUCCCUGAACAGGCAUGUCUGAAACCAGCACACCUACUAUCUUGUUUUUAUUUCUCUAGACAGGAAUUUUGUUUUGUCUAGUUUAAUCUGAGUUUCAUGUUUUGUUUCCCCUUCUCUUUGAUUCUCAUCAGUUGUAAAGAAUGCCUGCUUUUCUUAUGGUUGUUGCCAAAUAGCAUUGUUUCUGUUGUGGACCAACUCAAUGUUUAUCCCUAAGGUGGUCAACUUACAGAAACAAGAUUCACGUCAUUGAGUAAAAGGAGAAGCUUUGUUUUUGCACAUGCAACAGCAUUAGUAUUUGCUUAUGAUGGAAUUGUUUUAUCAAAAGGACACACAGCAUGGAUAGCAACGUUUUCAUGGAGUAUUUGUACGCUAUGGAUAGUGGCAGUUAGGGCUUGCAUUCAACCCAUGGUAAAUUGUUUUGGGAAAAGGCGCAGAUGGUUACGAUUGCAUAGGGUUGAUUGUGUUAUAUUACUUCAAGUGCAUGUGAGCUUCUGGAGGUUAAAGUUAUGGGGUGUGUAUAUUACAAUUAAGCAAUAGGAGGAUGAAUUUUAGCAACUUUGUUUGAUAUUCUUGUUCUUGUGUGUCUUGGUUUGCAUCUCUUGCUUGUCUCUACAGCUCUAUUUGAUCUUCAUCGGCUUAGGCAUCUGGAAAUCAGGUUUCUUAAUAAGACCAUUUUUUUUAUUUUAUUAGAUGUUAAAUACUUACUAGGCUUAUGUUACCAUUUUUCAUUUCUCUGUUUUUCGAAUUUCCAUGUUCUCAUCGGUAGUCACGAUUCACUUGCAGUCAAGCCUGCUCUUCCUCCAAUAUCCCAAUAAACUAUUUUAUAUUGGAUUUCUUAUCGAUUUUGCUGUCAAAUCUCCUGCUAUUUCAUUUGACAUAUAAGAGAAAUACUAGAUCAAUUUGUCUUGGGCUUACGAAAUACUAGGUCAAAAUAUUGCUAUACUGAAGAUUACAUGAUGCAUCCGUCGAAGCUCCACAGACAAAAUUAGUCAUCAGUUAAAGAGAGAUGCCAAUUUUAUCAAUCAGCCCGUCCCAAUUCGGGCACGCUCAUACUUCAUCCGAGGAUCGUGGCCCGCAUGUAUGCUCGGGUUGAGCCCGUUGUUUUUGAAAAUUCUGCCAUCAUUUCCGAGGGAUUAUCUAGACCACAGGUUCACGCAUUAAAGGUAGGAUCCUCCAUAAUCGCUCAUCAAAUCACCCUUGAAACAUGAAUUUUGAUUGACUCUCGUUUUCCUGGUCGUAUGGGGAGUGUGUGAGUUAGCUUAAAUUUCACUAAUUACUAUAAGAAAACCAGUUGACGCCUUCAAUAUUAUUUUCACUUUCCUUUGCAAGGUUUUUUUGCUGGAAAGUAUUUUUAUUUGGAAAGUGAAUUCUGAGAAAAUAAAUUCUGAAAAAGUGAAUUAUUUUCUGAUGUUUGGUAGUGUAAUGGAAAAUAAGUUGGAAAACAUUUCUCAGUGUUUGGUUAUGUCAUGGAAAAUGAGUUGGAAAAUAACUUAUUAAUGUUUUAUUUUUUUCAAGUUUAUUAAAAUAAUAAGGAAUAAAUCUUACAAAUUAAAAGGUUGAAUGAGAAUGAAAUUGAAAAAAUUAUAAUUUCAUAAAUUAUCUCAAAUAAAAUAAAUAAUAAUUAAAAUAAUAGAGAUUAAAUCUAACAAAUAAAAAAAUUAAAAGAUGAAGAAAUUAAAAUAAUAAUAAUUACCAUUUCAUAAAUUAUUUCAAAUAAAAUAAGUAACAAUCAAAAGAAUAAGGAUCAAAUUUGAUAGAUAAAAAAUUUCAAUUAAAAAAUAAUAAGAGAAAAUCAAAUAAGAAUUAUAAAAAUGAGGACCAAAAUUAAUAUAAAAAUCAAAUUUUAAGAGAUGAAAUUGAAAAAAAAAUAUUCAAAACAAAAUAUAUAUAACAAUCAAAAGUUUGAGGAUCAAAUUUGAUAUAAUCAACAAAUAAUAUGACAUUUUUAAAUUUUUCACAACUUCCGAAGAGUGUUUUCUGCCCAAAAUAAAAGGAAAACACUUUUCUGGAAACCAAACCAAAUUUUUCUUUGACUGGAAAGUGUUUUUCGUUGACCAACUUUUCUAAUAACAAACAAACGCGGGAAAGUGGUUUUCAGAAAACCAUUUUCUAUUAAACAAACUCCCCCUAAGGGUGAUUAACUCUCCUUUGUCUGAUUAUAUGUGAUUAAUUAAUUAAUUAAGAUGAAAACAAAUAUUCUUUACUGUAAAAAAUCGAUAAAUUAUAGAGGCAGAGCCGAACAUGUGAAAAAAUCUUUGCAACAUGUCACAGACAACUCUUAACUCAACUUUUUAAUGUUAUUGUCGGUUUAAGUCAAGACUUGAGAUCAGGAAUUAAGAGCACUCUUACCAGUGUUCUUAAAACAAUCCUCUUCAUACGUGGUGCUCUUAUCUUAACAAAUUUCUUAAUAUUCACAUGUUUAAAGGAUACAAAGCACGUUGUUCAAUCGGGUCAAGGGAUUCAUGGGUUGGUGGAUUAUGAUGAAAGUAGCCGCGCUUGCUAUGGUGAUGAUAGGCUUUAAUGGAUGACAUGUAAGUAAGUAACAAGCUAAAUCAAAGAAAAAAUAUUAAUUAAGCUGGAACAAGGGUACAUGAUUGUGAAUUUUUCUCAAGAGAGUGGAAUUUAAAAAUUAAAACGAGCGAUUUUGUGAUUUUUUUGAGGUCUUUUCUAAGUUGGGCAAUGAUCACUAGUGAUUCCGAUGUGUGAUCUCUAAAAAGAAAGAGAAUGAUGAAGAGGAUGGUUUUAAAUAAGGAUAUAGUUAUUGAUGACUUCUCAUAUCCAUUAUAUUUAGAAAUAAAGUUGAUGAUUUUUUAGUUUAAGUAAUUUUAUCCAUUCAACUUAAAAUAAUACGUAUUAAAUCAGUAUAAAAUAGUGAAGAUCCCCCAUGGGAUCUAAAAAAAAUUAUUUAGCAAGUAUUGGGCUUGGGCUAUUAGAGAUAAAAGUGGGUCCAAAUACGCUACCCGAACCCAAACAUGUUGAGUUCGACCUUGACAAUCCGAGUCCACAUGGGUGCUGAGAUGCUAGGCGUAUACCCAGUGCACUGAAUAGCACCCAUGCAUUGGGCGUCCAUGCGCCCAUGCAAGGAGCAUGGGCUCGGGUUACUUGCUCGAGCCCAUGUUCUUGGUGCGUAGGCUUGAGCUCCUUGUUCGAGUUCAUGUUCCUUAAAUGUUUUUUGGAUUAUUUUUUUCCUUUUUAGAGGAUUUUUUUGGGUUUAUUUUGUGGGAUUUUUUUAGUUUAUUUUAUUUUGGAUCCAUUGGUUAUGAAAUUGUAAGUAGGUCAAUAAAUUAGUGUGAGUUUAUUAAAUUUCAUUUAAUGAAACAAUAUUUUUUAUAUAAAAAAAUAUUAUUUAAGAAAUCUAGAAAAAUCUUAGAUAAAUCUCACCAAAAUUAUCAAAGUUUGUUCUGCUUAACUUUGUACUUGAUUUAAAAAUAAAAAGUCAUUUGAAACCGUCUUCCAAAUAACGUUUCACUAAAUGUUUUCUUAAAAAAUUAUUUAAAAUUAAUUUUUAAUUUUUUUUUAUUAUUUUAAUAUACUGAUAUCAAAAAUAAAUUUUUAAAAAAUAAAAAUAUAUAUUAUUAUAAUAUAUUUUUAAAUAAAAAUUAUUCUCGAUCACUAACUAGUAACUAAUAAGCCUCAUCUUAUAUGAAAUCUGGGAUUGACCCAUCCAAGUCAAACCACCGACCGAGCCGAGUGCGAAAGGUAUGAACACAGGAUCGUGGGGUGCAGGUGCACGUAGUUGGUAAGCAGAGAUAUGAAUUUUCAAAUAUAUUAACAAAGGAGCUCAUGGUUAAUUAAUAUAUAUUAUUGAAUAGCCAAUGAAUACCUUGACUUUUCUCCCAAAAGAUCUAAUGUUCGAAUCUCUCAUUUAUAAUAAAAAUAAAUAAAUUAUCAAAGAAGAAUAUGUGUAAAAAAAUGGGCUAUUUUAUUAGUAAAAUAAUAUUCUAAGUUUAUUUAAUAAUUAACUUUGUAAUAGACGGUGAUAUCUAUGGUGUAUGAAAACAAAUAUUAAUGCUUUGGAAAGUAAAUCAUAAUAAUAAAUAAAUAAAUAACAUAAAAGAUAAAUUAAUACCAAAAUAGAUGAAUUUUCAAGAAGAGAAUAAAGUGAUUUGUGUAUUAGGUUAUAAGUUGGUUAGGUUAAUUCGAAUUAAUUUGUUUUAAAUCUUUUUAAAAAAUGUUAAAACUAUAUUGUUUUGAAAAAAAAAACUUAAAAUCAAACUAAAUCUUGAUUAAGUCACAAAUUAAUUUAAUAAAUUAACUAUAUUAACUUUAAAUUUUUUUAAAAAAACUCAAAAAUCAGAUCUGAAAUAACUGUUGGAGAAAUAAAAUAUUAGAAUCUGGUUAGGAUAUUGAUAUAAAUAUACGGUUUAUAACCAUCGAAGAUGCAAUAUUUAGUGUUUGUGGUAUUAUUAUGUAAAAUAUUUUUAAAUUUUUAUUUAUUUAUAAAAUCAACAUAUUAAAACUAUAAAAAAUACUUUUAAAAAAAUAUUAACAUGAUAUUAACAAGGCAAAACUACCGUAGUCACCGGGAUAUUUCUAUACGUGCACGAGAGGACAAGAAUUGGUAUAGACGUACGGUUACCGGCUACCGAGAAUAUUUAAUUGGUACAACAAUUAAUAAUCAGCUUUCUGAAGUCGAACCUGUCAUGUCAUAUGUAUAUGACAGGUUAGAACAUGAUGUCCGUACAUUCAGAGAAGCCUACCAGACGCGUUUUCUUUUUCCUCGAAAAGACUUAGAGCCAAAAGAGCCCUUACUUUAUGGCUUAAAAUCAUGUAUGGUCCCCCACUUUUCACAUUUUGUGAAACCAGGCUCUAUACUUUAAACCAGCUCAAAUCAAUCCUCCGUCCAAUCAUAUCAUAACACUAUGUACUGACUAUUUAAUUAGCAUUACAGUACUUAGAAGGAUAGGUAUCACAUGAAUGAGUAAAAAACUCUAUUAAUUAUAUUAACCAUUGAGUCACUGUAUCAAUCUAAGUUUAUUAUUUUUAUUAAAACGAUAUUGUUGUAGUUUAUGACACGUAGAUAGAUGUUAAAGUAGAAUAUACUAAGCGAAGCAGAGUUAUGUUUCCUUGAACGAUUUAGAAUCUACUAUAAAUAAAUAUCAAGUAACCUCAUUUUUUAAAAAUAAAAUCUCUUCGCUCACGUGUAUAUAGGUACAUUGUUGAACCAUGUUAAGUCUUGUAUUCUUUAUAAUUUCUCUUAUAUCACAAUGUUUAUUAAUAAUUGCUAUAGUAUUUUCACAAAAAAAUAUUGUUUUUUUUUAAAUUGUUUUUUUUUUGAGUUGAUCGAAUCAAGUUUAGAUUCGCUUUGACUAAGUCAAACAAAUCACUAAAAACUUGAUCAAGUCAAUGUUUUUAAUAGUUUAACUCAAAACCUAGUUGGGGUCAAGUUCUGAUUUAUGAGUUUUAUGAAUUACACUAUGCUUGCAAGAAGGGGUUGAAAAUUAAAAUUUCAAAAAACUUUUUACUCCUGAGCAUAGAAAUUGAUUUGAGCCAAUUUAAAAAAGUUGAGGUACCAAACAUGAUUUCAGAGCCUUAUAAAGGUUUCAUGUUUUGAAAAUUUAGCUCUUUCAUAUACCGUUGUUUCAUGAAUGGUCACAAGGUUGUGACAUGCGCGUUAACAUUUUGACAAAAUGACAAGUACUCUAUUAUAAUACACUCAAAAUAAGAGAAAACUGGCUCUAAUCUGGAACCAUAUCACAGCUUUUCUUCUCUGUUUCCCUCUCUAACAUUAAUUUCUUUCUGAAAGGCAGACAGAUAAUUGAAUGAAUGCAAUGUUUCUUGCUUUUCUUUCCUCCUCCUCCUCCUCCUCCUGAAGAAUGACUGAAGAUUUGUGUUUCUUCAACAAGGUCUGUUCAGCUAGCUAAUACUUAGUUUUGAUCAUUGUAUUUUCUUAUUCUUUCUGUUUCUGUGCAUUGCCUUAUAAGUUUUUAACCAAUGAUAGCAAAGAUUCUUACAGACCAUAUAUAGUUAACUUUAUAAAAUUUGUAUCUUAGAAGUUUACUGUUUAAUUACAAGAUAUUCUCAGACCAUAUAUGGCUUUCCUACAACGUGUAAGGAUAUGGUGUGUCUGUUUUGUUUUCUUUUAGCAUCAUGUUUUUUUUCCCUCAAGUGUCUGUCCUCUGACCAUUUCAAUAGCCUUAUUUUUCUCAAAAUGAUCAAACAGAAUAAAACCAAAGCCCUUUCAUAUUUCUCAUCUCCUUUCUUUUUAUGGAGAUGGAAACUACAGUAUGAUCCUUUGAUCUCUACAGAUCGCUCUCUUUUUUUCCUGUUUCGAGUUUUGUGUUUCCAUUACCAAUUCAUUUUGUUAACAUCUGGGGUGUUUAAUUUUAAUUUCAGGAUGCAUUGGUUAUAAAGGGUCCUAAGAAAUCUCCAUUGUUAUUGAGACUGGUGGUCGUGGCAUUUGCUAUGGUCUGUGGAGUUUAUAUCUGCUCAAUAUGUAUAAAGCAGAUAAGUCCACACACAACAGCCAAGUUCCUCAACAUCAGAAUAUUCGAUCAGCCAUGUAAUUCUUCAAAUGUUGAGGAAUGGGAAAAGCCCUAUGUGCAUUACCCCAAGCCUGAAACGUUUAGCAGGUAUUUUGAUAGUUAUUGAAUUUAAUAUCUAACUUGGUUUAUUUACGUGUUGGUGUAAAAAUAGUUACUCUUUGAUGUAUAUGUAGGGAGGAAUGUGCCUGCAACCCAGUAAGGUUUUUUGCCAUAUUCUCUAUGCAGAGAUCUGGAAGUGGAUGGUUUGAAACAUUGUUAAAUAGUCAUAUUAAUGUUAGCUCGAAUGGAGAAAUAUUUGGGAAGAGAGCAAGAAGGGCGAGUGUUUCUGCAAUUACACAAACUUUGGAUAGAGUUUACAAUCUUGAUUGGUUCAGUAGUGCUUCCAAGAAUGAGUGUAAUGCUGCUGUUGGGUUCAAAUGGAUGCUUAAUCAGGUCAGUGGCUUUGUAGUUUUACUCGUGGAUUUUCUUAGUUUUAGAUCCUCGACUCUACUGCCCAGGAUGAUAAUGUUCCUACUUCGUUGUCUGUCAAAACUUGGCCACAUUUCCUGCUCAAGAGUGAUCAUUUGUGUCAUUUGCUGUGUUAAUCUCCUGCCAUAGCGGAUAAUGAACCUGGCUCACUCUCCUUUCUAACACUAAAACUAAUCGCUAAUGCAUAUCGGUUUAUAUAUUAUUUAAAAAUAAUUUUUUAAAAAUGCACAUAAUGAUUAUGCAUUUUGCAGGGCGUGAUGGAACAUCACGAGGGUAUAGCAGAGUACUUCAAGCAGAAUGGAGUUCAUGCAAUAUUCCUCUUUAGAAGGAAUUUGCUCCGCAGAAUGAUCUCUGUACUUGCAAAUUCCUAUGACAAAAGCAACAAGCCACUGAAUGGAACCCACAAGUCUCAUGUCCACUCAUCAAUGGAGGUGCUUCUCUCUCUCUCUCUCUCUCUCUCUCUCUCUCUCUCAAAUUUAUUGUCUCGAGAAGAAGUCAUAAAGUUCGUAAGCAUUGCAGGCCGAAGUUCUUGCGAAAUACAGGCCGACAAUAAAUGCCACGACACUGAUAGCUGAACUGAAGCAUGUAGACGAUAGGGCUACCAGGGCCAUAGAUUAUUUCAAGAGCACUCGUCAUACUGUUGUUUACUAUGAAGAUGUCGUCGGUAACCGCACAGUAAGGCAUUUGUGCUGUUGUGUAUUGAUUGACCUUCCAUUAAAGCUUAACUCGCUGCUCACUAACACUUGUCUUGUCUUCAAUAUUAGUAACAAUAUUGCUGGAAUUUCUUGUGCAGAAACUGAAAGAGGUUCAAGACUUCUUGAGGUUGCCAUAUAGAGAGCUUACAAGCCGUCAGGUUAAGAUACACAGUGGGCAUUUAUCAAAGCAAGUGCAGAACUGGGAUGAAAUCCACAAGGUAUUGAAAGGAACCCAGUAUGAGAGCUUCCUUCAUCUGGACUAUCAAAGAUAGGUGUCAACACUACUGAGAAAGAUGUACAUAGAUCAGUUUUUGCAGCAAGAAACAGACGACACCCUUUCCUUCCCUCUUUUAUCCUUUUCUGUUACACUAUUUCCGCCAUUUAUGAGUAGAAAUUGAGCUCAUGUUUUGGACUGUUAAUUUGAUUCCAUUUAUUCGUAUAGAUAAUAAAUGUCAGCAUCCAUUAACUCACGGACACACACGAAUGUGUAUGGAUAAUGUUUUCCUAUGGAUCAUUUUUGUUCAAAUGUAUCAAAAGAAAAAAAAUUCAAGCACUCAGAAUCGUCCAUUGCGUUAUAUAUGAUCAAAUGUAAGCUGCUUGAAAUAUGCAAACAAAUACUUGCACCCUACUCUAUUUUGUUCGACAGAAGAUCUCGAAAAGCUUGGGAAUUCUGACUUCGAUAUCCAGGUUGAUUUCGCAACUUGUUACCUGACCAAAGAUGAAGAAGCUCUGCUGAAACUAAAACAGUGUCAUAGAAUUAGUUUUUCGAAAUAAAGUAUGAUACAAGUCCGACAACAAAUCUACAACUGACCAAGGGGGAGCAAGGAAUUCACCCGGAUGAAAGCCAAUACAAGAGCAGAUCAAUUACAUAUAUUCAUAAUUCAUCAACAGGAAUCAGUGGUCUUAACAUGCCAUUUGCAGGGCAUGAAUUACAUUUCUGCUCCAUCUAAUUCGAAGCCGAAAGAUGCAAUCAUCCCAAUCCAUAUGGAUUGCUUCCUAAUCAUCUCUGUCUCCUCCUUCAACAAUAUAUACAAACGGGUUGUACCAAAUUCAAAUCAAAUAGGAGAACUGGCACAACCCUUGUUAUCAGAAACUUGAGGUUGAUUGGAAGAAGUUAAAAUCCGAGAAGAAUUCCAGAACUGUCUUUUCUAUUUCUAAUGCUUUUUUUUUUCCUAUUGCUUCCUAGAUGAUGAGAUUGCAGCAACGCUACAUAUUUGAGCAGAUAGAUCAAUGAAUUACUGAUCCGCUACUUGUUCCAAAGUCUGGUUUCUCUGUUUGUCUAACAACAAAGUGGUCAACGAUUUUAACAGUAUUCAGUGGCUCUUGCUGAGCAACAGCUGCACUCCAUUUGCUAGGGAACUUUCGAUGGUGGCUCAGUUGUUGUGGCUGCUUUGGCUCUGCAUCCCAAUGAGGAUCCAGUUUCCAUUCCUUUGGGACCUGCACAUUUAAUCAAAUAAUCACAACGUUAAGACAGUUCUAACAGUGAGCUAUGAUGAGUGUUUACUCCACAACAGAUAAAAACAGAGGAUGGUUAAACUACAAAACAGCCAACCAAACUGAAUUUCUGAAGUUUAAGGUACCCUUUACUGAACACAAGCAUUCACAGCCAAACAUCUGCGUGCACGCGGGCACACACAGGAACAAAGCUACAGUCAACAGCAUUUAACAAAAUGCCAUCAUGUCAGGCUAAUAAACAUGCUGGAUAAUCAAAACAGCAUUAAUUUCUUACCUUGUCAACUGCAAGGGUGAAAACCUCAAGAUCACCAUCUUUGUUGAUGUGGAAUCGUGUGAAUGCCUUGUAGUUUGCAAUUCGGAGAGAUGAAAAGGCUUCAUCAAAGUGCAUGUGAAGCCAGUUAAUGCAGAUGUAUAGAUAACUUCCAAAAACCAAAGAAACAACAGGUGUUGAGAAGACCCAGAAGUAGAUAAACACGGAAGCAUAAUAAAUGAUAGCUCCCCCUCUUGACAGGGACUCCAUCCCAUUUUUGCAAAUAUUACUCCGCG
rnacentral:lncRNA from 1 species